ACUGGCAGAUUAUUGCAAAAAGGGCACGGGGCAGAGGGACUAUGUUGUGAGCCUGCGAAAGAAGUUUGUGUGGGGACUGUGGGCAGUGAAUGCGUUGGGAACAAUAUGGAAAACUGGGAGCUGCCUUGGAAUCUACAGGGCCGGGUAAGAGAAUGUCCGAAAGAAAAAUGAGCAGGUGCGGGAUGUGCGCAGAGUCGGAGAAGAGUCCAGGGCGCCCGGAGUGGCUCCAGGAACGACGGAAACCCCUCAAGGCUUUUGGGGGCGGCUGAAGAAAAGAAGAAUGGUAUUCAUGCAGUUCCCAUUUUACAGAUGAAAACAAGAGGACUUUUUCUGUGAAGUCAAGAAAGUGGUUACAAUGGUACUUUCAGCCUGUCCGAAUUAUGUAUUGCCCCUCCCCUUUUUAUUAAUAACAUUGAAGUGUGAUGGGACAACCACUGAAGCCGUCUGUUGAAACCUGCUGGGACUUUUUAGCCAUUCUCUUCAACAUAAAGAAUGGGUGUUUUUGGAGGGGGUGAGAGGAAUGGGGAAAUGUUGUCAAAGAGUACAAUGUUUUAGUUGAGACAGGAGGAAUAUAUUUUGUUGAGAUCUACAGCACAGCAUGGUGACUGUAGUUAACAAUGAAGUAUUGUGUAUUUCAAAAUUGCUAAGACAAUAAAUUUCAAAUGUUCUCACCACAAAAAAGAUAGGUUUUGAGGUGAUGAAUCUA
rnacentral:lncRNA from 1 species